rnacentral:rRNA from 1 species
UGAUCGGUGCUUGCACCGAGAUUCAACAGGGAACGAGUGGCGGACGGGGGAGGAACACGUGGGUAACCUGCCCUUAAGUGGGGGAUAACAUUUGGAAACAGAUGCUAAUACCGCAUAGAUCCAAGAACCGCAUGGUUCUUGGCUGAAAGAUGGCGUAAGCUAUCGCUUUUGGAUGGACCCGCGGCGUAUUAGCUAGUUGGUGAGGUAAUGGCUCACCAAGGCGAUGAUACGUAGCCGAACUGAGAGGUUGAUCGGCCACAUUGGGACUGAGACACGGCCCAAACUCCUACGGGAGGCAGCAGUAGGGAAUCUUCCACAAUGGACGCAAGUCUGAUGGAGCAACGCCGCGUGAGUGAAGAAGGCUUUCGGGUCGUAAAACUCUGUUGUUGGAGAAGAAUGGUCGGCAGAGUAACUGUUGUCGGCGUGACGGUAUCCAACCAGAAAGCCACGGCUAACUACGUGCCAGCAGCCGCGG